rnacentral:tRNA from 1 species
GCCUUUGUGGUGUAGUAGUCAGCACUUUCGGCGUGUAUUUGAGACGUCCGUGGUUCGAGUCCCGGCAAGGGCA